rnacentral:piRNA from 1 species
UGCCAAAGAAAGAAUUUGUCCCAGAAUGAGGU